rnacentral:rRNA from 1 species
AUUGAACGCUGGCGGCAGGCCUAACACAUGCAAGUCGAGCGGAUGAAGGGAGCUUGCUCCUGGAUUCAGCGGCGGACGGGUGAGUAAUGCCUAGGAAUCUGCCUGGCAGUGGGGGAUAACGUCCGGAAACGGGCGCUAAUACCGCAUACGUCCUGAGGGAGCAAGUGGGGGAGCUUCGGACCUCUCGCUAUCAGAUGAGCCUAGGUCGGAUUAGCUAGUUGGUGGGGUAAAGGCCUACUAAGGCGACGAUCCGUAACUGGUCUGAGAGGAUGAGCAGUCACACUGGAACUGAGACACGGUCAAGGGUCCUGAGGGAGGCAGCAGUGGGGAAUGUUGGGCAGUGGGCGAGAACCUGAUCCAGCCAUGCCGCGUGUGUGAAGAAGAUCUUCGGAUUGUAAAGCACGUUAAGUUGGGAGGAAGGGCAGUAAGUUAAGACCUAGCUGUUUUGACGUUACCAGCAGAAUAAGCACCGGCUAACUACGUG